UUCUCCUAUUCCUGCUGCACCCGCGGGAUCGAGCACUACAUCCCCAGCGGGCCCCUACUGAGCGUUAAUUUUGGGGGCCCCUGCCUGGUAUUUGAGGGCCCACGCGCUCUGCGUACUCUGCGUAGGCGGAGCAGCAGCACUGCCUAGUUGUUUUCAUUAGGUAUACCCAGAGACCUGACUACUAUACUAUGUCUUUGUCUUGCACAAUGAGAGCAUCAGGCAGUUCUUGGAGGGCACAGCCUUGGACCCAAGGUUCAAGACGAAAGUGGCAGAUAGAGUGCGGACCAGACUAGAGGAGAAGCUCAUGAAUAGGACCUCACAACAGAAUAAAGAUGAAAUGACCAAGGACCGGCAGAUUGAACAGGAUCUUGAAGAGACAGCCAGUGACCAUGAUGACGACUCAUGAUGAAGACAGUACAGCUGCAGUAGCAACACUGAUACCCUGACCUCUACCUGCAGGAGCCUGUUGGGCGGAGUUUGGUCGUCAGGAGGAUUCAGGUCACCUGGACUGUCCAGCUUCCAUAUAAGCUGGAGGCAGUCAGUCAUUUGCCCUCUUCCCUCUGGCUUUCACCAUGUUGUUUGUGGUUGUGUUUGGUUUCAUUUAUUUUUAAGUUAUGUACAUUAAAUCUAUCUUUAUUUAUAACUCAUGUGUGGUCUCCCCUCCUUUGUCCAGCCUUGAGCCAG